CAGCCGCCGCGGUAAUACGUAGGGUGCAAGCGUUGUCCGGAAUUAUUGGGCGUAAAGGGCUCGCAGGCGGUUUCUUAAGUCUGAUGUGAAGGCCCCCCGCUCAACCGGGGAGGAUCAUUGGAAACUGGGAAACUUGAGUGCAGAAGAGGAGAGUGGAAUUCCACGUGUAGCGGUGAAAUGCGUAGAGAUGUGGAGGAACACCAGUGGCGAAGGCGACUCUCUGGUCUGUAACUGACGCUGAGGAGCGAAAGCGUGGGGAGCAAACAGGAUUAGAUACCCGCGUAGUCCCUGUCUCUUAUAC
rnacentral:rRNA from 1 species